UGUAGAUCUGCUGGCCUCCAGGCAUGCAAAGGGGUGGCCAUGGCUAUGAUCCCCAUUUCCCUGAUGAAGAAACUGAGGCCCAUGGCAGUUCCAGGCACCAAAAUCGAGGGCAGGUCAUGUGGAAAGCAUAGCUGCGACCCCUGUCACGUCUCCUUUUUUAUUUUUUUGUAAGAAGAGAUGUUUGUUCCUGAGCCGCGCGGAGGAGGGGCCCCCGCCUCUUCACCAGCUGUAACCACGUCAGCUGCCGCGGGCACAAAGGCCGCUUCUCCCCGUGUCCCCCCCUCACCCCGGAGCCCCAGCCCGAGGCCGCCAGCCGGCCCGGCACACAGGACUCAGCCCGCUGCCCAGCUUUGCAGCAAGGGACCCUCCUGAGUGCCAACUCGCAGAGCAGCAGCUGAAAACGGCUCAUUAGCCCUGAAUGGAGCCUGCAGAGCAGGGGCAGCGGGCGGGCAGGCCCUGGCAGCCGAGGGCAUUGUUCCCGCCCGAUCCCUGGAGGGCCACAGAUGGGUGUAGUGCCUCCUGCCCGGCCCGGCUGGUCAGGCGCUGCCGAGAUGCUAUUUCAGAUACAUCCAGUUAAAGCAAAUAUAUUCUUCAGACUAAUCUCACCCGUUUCUUUGUAUGUUUAAAAUGUGGCCACUCGGCAAUUUGACAUUACAUCUGUGGCUAUUCACCUCCUAUUUCAUGUUGCGCCGUCUGGGUCUAGGGCCGUGCUAAUCUGAGCUGUCCAGACCCUCACCUCAGCAUCCCCUGGGAGCUGGUAAGAAGCGCAGCUUCUCGGACCCCACCCAGGCUUGCAGAAGCAAAGCCUAAUUCUUAGGCGAACUCUGGAGCCCCACAACUACUGUACUUGUGAUCUGUCACCAAACUGAACCAGGCCUCCCACACUGCCCUGUGCCCAUCUCAGGCCCCACAGAGCCCCGAGUCAGCGGAAACACCCGCCACCCCAUCAGGGGCCGUGCAGUCCCCCAGCUGGGGAAAAUGUCUCUUGAGGGUCUUGGGAGCAGCAAAAUAUGAUCUUAGAAUGCUGAGCUUGCCCUGUUCUCCCCCUCAAAAGUUGUCUAGCCAAAACCUCUCUGAUUUAGACAAAAUGGAGGGAGACAGUCUGAUCUGCAGAACUUAAGAAUUGGUGCUGAGUGCCUGCGGCAGGCCAAGUGUUUAGAAACAUUUAUUUCAUUCUUUUUGG